UACAGAGGUGGCAAGCGUUGCUCGGAAUUACUGGGCGUAAAGGGCGCGUAGGCGGCCUUCUAAGUCGAACGUGAAAUCCCCGGGCUCAACCCGGGAACUGCGUCCGAUACUGGAAGGCUUGAAUCCGGGAGAGGGAUGUGGAAUUCCAGGUGUAGCGGUGAAAUGCGUAGAUAUCUGGAGGAACACCGGUGGCGAAGGCGGCAUCCUGGACCGGUAUUGACGCUGAGGCGCGAAAGCUAGGGGAGCAAACGGG
rnacentral:rRNA from 1 species